rnacentral:rRNA from 1 species
AGCGGACGCUGGCGGCAGGCCUAACACAUGCAAGUCGAACGGAUCCUUCGGGAUUAGUGGCGGACGGGUGAGUAACACGUGGGAACGUGCCUUUUGGUUCGGAACAACUCAGGGAAACUUGAGCUAAUACCGGAUGUGCCCUUCGGGGGAAAGAUUUAUCGCCAUUAGAGCGGCCCGCGUCUGAUUAGCUUGUUGGUGAGGUAAAGGCUCACCAAGGCUACGAUCAGUAGCUGGCCUGAGAGGAUGAUCAGCCACACUGGGACUGAGACACGGCCCAGACUCCUACGGGAGGCAGCAGUGGGGAAUCUUGCGCAAUGGGCGAAAGCCUGACGCAGCCAUGCCGCGUGAAUGAUGAAGGUCUUAGGAUUGUAAAAUUCUUUCACCGGGGACGAUAAUGACGGUACCCGGAGAAGAAGCUCCGGCUAACUUCGUGCCAGCCGCCGCGGUAACAC